rnacentral:rRNA from 1 species
GUAGGUGGCAAGCGUUGUCCGGAAUUAUUGGGCGUAAAGCGCGCGCAGGCGGGUUCUUUAAGUCUGAUGUGAAAGCCCACGGGCUCAACCGUGGAGGGUCAUUGGAAACUGGAGAACUUGAGUACAGAAGAGGAAAGCGGAAUUCCACGUGUAGCGGUGAAAUGCGUAGAGAUGUGGAGGAACACCAGUGGCGAAGGCGGCUUUCUGGUCUGUAACUGACGCUGAGGCGCGAAAGCGUGGGGAGCAAACAGGAUUAGAUACCCUGGUAGUCCACGCCGUAAACGAUGAGUGCUAAGUGUUAGGGGGUUUCCGCCCCUUAGUGCUGCGGCUAACGCAUUAAGCACUCCGCCUGGGGAGUACGGCCGCAAGGCUG